ACUCUUUGUCAUAGAAAUGCCAAUUUCAUUUUUCAAUCCAAAUCAUGUUAAGAAAUGUCACUCUUUUUUUCACAAUUUUAAUUUUCAGUAAAAAUGAACUUUUCCAUAUAAAAUAUUAACAACCCAGAAAGGCAUGAUAUCAGUACUAUUGUGGACAUCCCUCUUUAAGCAAUUAUGCACCUACUGUGUGCCAAAUGCUCUGCCCUUGGGUCCUCAGCACAACUUAGAGGGGUGGAUACUAUUAUGAUCCUAUUUUACAAAUGAGAACACUGAGGCCUAACAGAUUAGGUCAGCUUUGGUCAGUUUCCUGGCAAAUAUGCCCUUAAACUAUCUCAUGUGAUGACCUUUUGUUUGCGGUUUUACAGCUUAAGAAGGUGGCAAAGCUGAAUCAGGCAAGUGAGAAGUUCAAACAUGACGACAAAGGAGGAGGCUGUGAGAAUAGCGAGGAGAGGCUGUGGCCGUGGAAAGGCCAGCCAGGAGGUGGAGGAGCAGAGGUUCACUGGUUUUACCAUCAAGCGGAUUGUCAGGGUUCAGCUCAGGCUCUGGUAGUGGGUCUCCUGGUUUCCCCUCUCCCUCCUUCCAAAACCUGGCAGAGGAGGGAGCUGAUUGGAAGUUGGAGGGCUGAGGCCUGAGGCCUAAGUCCUGAAGAGCUUCUACUCAGCUCUGCUCCUGACUCACUCUACCUUGACCAAUCCACAUGCCCUCUGGGGCCUCAUUCCCUCACUUGUAAAAUAGACUAUCUCGGUAGCGGUAGCAGGUCAGAGACACCAGGAGCUUUGUAAAAACACAGUUGCUGGCCAGGCGCAGUGGCUCAUGCCUGUAAUCCCAGCACUUUGGCAGGCCGAGGCAGGAGGAUCACUUGAGGUCAGGAGUUUGAGACCAGCCUGGCCAACAAGGUGAAACCUCAUCUCUACUAAAAAUACAAGAAUUAGCUGGGUGUGGUGGUGUGCACCUGUAAUCCCAGCUACUUGGGAGGCUAAGGCAUGAGAAUCACUUGAACCUGGGAGGCAGAGGUUGCAGUGAGCUGAGAUCGCACCACUGCACUCCAGCCU
rnacentral:lncRNA from 10 species